CCAAGUGUCUCUGCUGCAUCAGCUCAUUGAUGUUCAUUUUAAUUUAAUUUAGACCUUUCUUUUCACCCCAAUGGUUUUCUUCUGGAUUAUUGUGGCAUUCCACAUUUGUAUCAGUGAAACGGGCUCACAAUUCGUAGCUCCCGGUUAUCAACCCACACUGAUGGUGACGCCAAGAGUUGUGAGCUUGUGGGAAGAAGUCCAGAUGAGCUGUGGAACUUGGACUCCUUUCAUAAUGGAGUGCUAUUUUUUAGCAGAUGGUGUCCUACCAUUUGGACCGUUCCCAAACUGUGGAGUUUCUGUGACUGGGGAACAGCUUCUUGGAGGACGAGAAUCUCUGGCUGUAAACACGGUUCUUCUCACAUGUUAUUACUAUUGGACUGGGGUCCCCUCAGCAUAUAGUGACAGUGUGGCCGUGCUAGUAAAAGGAGAUGUACCUCAGCCUACAGUGACCGUGAGACCUGCAGUGGUCACUCUUCAGGACCUGGUCACCCUGACCUGUAACCUGCCUC